GCUCCUGAAAAGGGCAAAAUGAAGGGAAACGUUAUGAUAGCUACUCAGCCAUGCCUGAGCUGGCGGGGCUCCUUACCUCGGUCACAGAGUUUGUCAUGAAGUCGUCCAUGGACUUGCCUGGGCAACUUGCUUUCGGCUGGAACGCAAAACAGAAGCGGACCACACUGUGUUUACUGUGCCAAAUUGGAUCAAGCCUUUCCUCUCAAACUCGGCAAUCUCUAACAAAGUCCCUGGCAGGGAGCAAGAUCAGAUGAAGGAGACAACUAGAAAAAGGAGCUGAAGUUGGCCCACAUACUUUUGCUGUGCGAGGUGAGGCGAGGCGAAGCGAGAUGAGGGCCACGACACAGACGUUGGUGAGUCAAAGAAGACAAACUUCCUGGAUCGGCAAAUGGAGAGCCGAAAGAAGACGAGUAGAAAGGUACCAAAUUUGUCGCUUUCAAACAAAGAUGAUGACAAAUCCGGCGGUAAGUCGCUGAGUGGCUUUUGGCUUCAAGAAAGAUCUUGCCUUCAUUGACACGAGGACUCACAGCAGCGUCGUCGGCGGUGCCGCGGUCGCACGGUGUUUGGAUCUUUGGUACAGUUUUGACGAGUCAAAGCAGAAGUGAUACGAUGGGGCGGACCCACAGACACUCCUGGGCCUUCCCU